rnacentral:tRNA from 16 species
CUUUGGUGGUGAGGGGAGCAGACUUCAAAU